rnacentral:lncRNA from 1 species
AUAGACACAAACAAAGAUCGAAUUUAAAAAUUAUAAAAGUAAACUUCCAUAAGAUGCCAUAUUCGCAUGGCUUAUAUACAAUAGUCAAAAUAUCAUUCUACUUAUAGUCUAUCCUAUACAUGCCAUAAGCUAAGUCCAAAUCACAUGAUUACCACAAUAGUAGAUAGUGUGACGAAGUGUUGACGAUCCUCAAGCUAAUAGUAAGAGUAAACGAUCUAUAAAAAUAAACAGAGAAACAUAAUAUUCAAAGUAAGCUUUCAUAAGCUUAGUAAGUCUUAAGCAAUUUAAACAGUUGAGCUUUAAAAAAAACAAACCAAAUGUUCGAAAUCACAUAACACUUUCUAAGGACAAUACUAUUUGGCUGAUUAUGCACAAACACAUAUCAUUUUACUCCGUUUAUACUCAAACUCAUAUAAACAUAGUAUUUACAAGCUUCUGGAUUAACUUUAAUUCUUUCAAAUUUCACUAGUGUAUCAUUUCUUACCCACACUUACUUUCAACAUUCAUAGUUAAAUGGCAUAUCAAAAACUAUCUUGUAACUUUGCAUAAUAACUGAAUGCACACAUAUACAAAUAUACAUAUGAAUUUACAACAUCUUUUCAUAUGCUUCUCAUUACACAUUCUUAAUUCUCGUCAGAUCAAUCUCACAUAUAUAAUAUAUAUCACAUACAUGAAUCACUUAAUGUUUAAUACGACUUCAAUUUAUCAUCUUAGCAUAGGAUCUCGUAGUCAUAUACUUUAUCAAAUUCACUAGCACUUGGCCUGCGAGGUAUAAAACCCGAACAUAACACCAGCACGAAGCCUACGGGACUUUAAACUCGGAUACAGUCUCAGCACAAGUUAUUUUAUAUACUUUUUACUAACUUUGGCCUCAUCAAAUAUCUAAUAAUACACACUUUUCACAAUUGGUCAUUCGGCCACAUUAUAUACACAUAAACAUAUGUACAUUUCACACUUGCCCAUUCGGUCACACCACAUACACAAGCACAUAUAUAAGAUAAUGUUUUUAUCAUUACUUGCUAAUACAUCAUAUACUUUGCUUUCAUUUAAAUAACCACUCAGUCAUAUUACAUUUCUAAGUAACCAUUCGGCCUCACUAUACAAAUAAGAUAGCACACAUUUUCAUAAAGGCCAUUCAGAUAACUUGCACACAUUUAAUAUUAGCCAUUUCGGCCUCACCAUAUAUACAUAUCUUAUACAUCAAUUUCAUCAUAUCAAAAUCGACUAGGUAAACUAGUCAUUCAUGGCUUAUAGCCUCAUUUUAAUAUGGAUUCGGUACUUUGAUUACCAAUAUUUAAUCAAACAUGUUCUUAAUUACAAUUAUUUAACAUUUUAUUUUACAUUCGGCAAUGACAUGUUCAUCUCCAAUAAUUCAAUACUUAUAAACUUAUAAUUUCACAAAUUUUAACAUCAAAGAUCCAUCUAACACUCAUAUAUCAUUUCCUAACGUCACAAUUCAAAAAUCACAUAUGGUUUUAAUCAAUAUCUUAUAAGCAACUCAAACAGUUUUAUCAAUGUUUACAACAUAAUCACAAAUUCACUACAAGCUGUCUUCCUGAGCAACAGUCAUUAAAUUAUUUAUAACUGGAGCUACGAAACUCCAAAUCAAGUGCCGUUAAUUUUCCCUAAAAAUAGACUCAUCAAGCUUUAAUUACAUAAUUUAUUAAGCCUCUAACUCAACUCCAACAAUUUAUACGUUAUUGAUGCUGUCCCAAGCAGAUCUAUUACAAUUUACUCUUAAAUUUCCAAAAGUUCAAACACUUAAGAACUUACUAAGAUCUCAAUUUCCCUUCUUCAAUUUCCUAAUCACAUUAAUAGUUUCACUUACUUUGUAACAUUAAUCCACAAUUCAUCUCAUAAUUCAUUCGGUAAUUUCAUCACAUAAUUUAUUAAAAUAUCAUUUCCUUAUAUUGAUUUCAAAUACAUUCAAGAAUUUAAAGCAUAAUUUCAUAGCCAAAUGUAUUCACUAUUCGACAUUUACAAGAAAUUCAUAGUAUUUUAUUCACGUCUUAACUCAUGAUGCUUUUGGUUAUUCCAUCUUAUCUCAUGUAUUCAAAAUACCAUUCACACAUAUUAGUUCAUAAGACAUUUGGCUAUCACACAUAGUCCUCAUUAAAUUCAUACUCAUUCUAUUUACUAUUACUUAACCGAAACACAGAGAUCAUAUAUCAUUCUCUAAAACUCUUUUAGCAUAUACCUCAUUUCCAUGCACAAUUCAAUCGAGUAAGCUAGCCAUUUUCGGCUCAUAUUAUGAACAUUAUUAAUCAUUCGAAAAUAUAUAUAUAUUUAUAUAUCACAUAUACUAAAACUUUAUUCUAUAUUCAUUUAAUCUUUAAACACAUAAAUUUAACUUAAUCGUUUAAGAGCUUACCUUAAAAGUUAUCAUACGACUAUAUCGACUACACGACUACGUUCUUUUUUUCCUCGAUCCGAGUUUGUCCCCUUAAGCUCUUGAUGCUCAAUCAACAAUUUUAACUACUCAAUUUACAAAUGGCAAUGCCAUUACUUUACAUAACAGAAAUUAAAUUUCAUUACUUAAAUUAUCCACGGAAAUCACCUUCCGAGCACCUUAAUUUUCUUUAAGCUAAACCACCUCAUAGCAUACAUAUACACAUUCGGCUAAUUAUAAAACAAAAUCAGCACUCAUAACCGAAUCAUUAACUAAAAUCACAUUUGGUAAUAUGCUUAAAUAAUCUUCAAUAUUUAAUAACAUCUAAAACUAAUUUGCUUGAGGUGCCAUGAAUUAUUCAAAUUGGCCGAAUAUCAUUGAAUUUCUAAAAUCAUGCUUAUAACCACUUGGCCGAAUUUCACAUAUCAAAGCCAUUUAUAUAUUGUAACGGCUUAAUUUUCAGUGGUGUCGGAAAUGGUGAUUUGAGAUCACUAAAUCCGAAAAAUAAGAUUGAACAAGAUAGUAAUUUAAUAUUUAUGAGCCAAGUAAGAAUUUAGAAGAAUUUGUGAAAUGGUGAAAUUAGUGAAUUAAAAGAAUUUAUUAGGUCAAACGGGUCAAAAACGAGGUAUCGAGACCUCGAAUUUGAAAAUCAAGCUAUAAAUAUUUUUAUAAAUAUUUAUGAAGUUUCAUUUAGCUAGUAUUAAAGUUUGGUUGAGAAAUUUUAACGAUUAGGUAGUCAAUUAAAUAAAAAGGACUAAAUUGUAAUAAAAAUAAAUUUUACUAAAAGGAUUAAAUAGCUCAAGUGUUAAAAGAAAGAAGAUUUAAAGGGAAAUUAAGCCUAAAAGUGAAUAGGCUGGACGGCAAAGGCAAGAAAAUCAGCAGAAAAAUAAGGGAAAUAAGGGCAAAAUUGGAAAUUUUACAACUUUAACAUAUAAAAUAAGAAUAAAAUUGAAGAAUCUAGAGAUCUCUUCAUAUUUUAUCAGCCAAAAUGCCAUAGAAGGUCUGGAGAAAGCUGGUUUUUCAUAUUUUACAUCAUGUGAGUUUAAUUCUUGCUUUUUCUUGAUAAUUUUUAUGUUUUUAUGACUUUUACAAUUAGGUCCACUUAUAGAAUUCAUUAGUUUUUGAUUUUAUGGGUGAAAUUGGAAGUUACCCUGGAUGGAUAAGGGAAUUUUAUGAUGAAUUAUUAUGAAAUUUAAGUUCUAAUUUUCAUAUUAAGGUGGUUUUAUUAAGUGAUUUUGAUAGAAAAUGAUAUUUAGGACCUAAUUGUGAAAAAGUUGUGAAUUGAAGGUUGCUGUUGAAAUUCAGAAUAGAAAAGAUUUUGAAAUAGUUUAUAAUGAUAAAAUAAAGUGUUAAUUGAGAAAAAUUAGUUCAAUUGAUGGGUGAAUUGAGCAGGGACUAAAUUGUGAAAACUAUAAAUUUUGGGGUAAAAGUGCAAUUUUGAAAUUUGAACAGCAUAAAUUGUGAAGUGAAAUAGAAAUCAAAUAAAUGCUAAUGAGUAGAAAUAUUUUAUAUUAUAGAUCAAGAAUCCAAAGAAGUACGAGGAAAAGAAAAAGUUGCGGAAUAGUCCCUAAAUUUCAAUAUCUUCUACAAAUUAGUCCAGGUAAGUUCAUAUGGCAAAGUUCAAUGUUUUGAUAUGAAAAUCUUAUGAUUGUUAAAGUAUUUUAUUGUUGAUGAAUACUAUCAAUUUGCAUUAACUAAUAAAUAAUGUGUAACUAAAAGUACAAAUUAGUAGGAACAAUGGAUUUGAGUGCUUCUAUUCUGUGACCCUGAUGAAUUGACGAAAAAUAUGUGAUAAGUGCGCCCGUUUAAGACCAUAGCUGGGCUAUGGCAUCGGUGCAAUGUGAUAAUGUGACUCCGUAUAAGACCAUAGCUGGGCUAUGGCAUCAGUAUAAUGUGAUAAUGUGAUUCCGUAUAAGACCAUGUCUGGGAUAUGGCUUCGGUAUGAUAUGUGAACCGUGUAAGACCAUGGCAAGGCUAUGACUUCGGUGUGUGAUGCGUAACAAUGUGAAAGUCCAUAGUUUACUAUGGCAAUGUGAUAAUGAAGCACUCAAUUCCCUUAUUGUUCCCUAAUUUGACAAUGAAGUAAAUGAGAAAUGGGCCUAAGGGAGUUAAAUUGUGAGUAGCCAUAUGGAAAUUAUUCCAAUGAGUUAUUAAUGAAAUUGUGGUUUGGAGGAUGAAAUAGUUAAACUAAUAGAUAUAUGAUUGUGUACAAUAUUUGAUAUGAUUUGUGUUUUUAUGCCUAUGAGCUUACUAAGCUUCAAUAAGCUUACUUGUGUGUGUUUGAUAAUUUCUUUUGUAGAUUGAAUUAAAGAGAAGUUGGUAGAUCGGAUCAACACAACACGGCACACUAUUCAGAUCAAUUCCGGUAGUUUUUGUUUUAUGUUUAAAGAUUUAUAUGGCAUGUAUAGAAUUCGAAUGAAUUGAAGUAAAGAUGUUAUAAACUAGUUAACAAUAUUUGUACUAAAAUAGUUUUUGGUAAGUAGCAGUAGUUUGACUUUGAAAAAUCACUAAAAAUAGUAGAAAUGGAAUUAAAUAAUGAAUAAGUUAUGGAAUCGAAUCUUGAUGAGUCUAUUUUCAUAUGGAAGAAGCAAAACAGGUAUAUGAGCUAUAUUUUAUGAGAUGUUUAAAUUUUUGUGAAACAGGGCCAGAGCGAUUUCUGGAUCCCCUGUUCUGACUUUGGAAAUUCACCAUAAAUUUUACAAAGAUAAUUAGAAGUCAUACUUUAUAUGUACAGAUUCCUUAUUGAGUCUAGUUUUAUUAGAUACAAACGGCAUAGUCAUUGAAGCUCUUUAUAGAUAGAUAUCUGAUUCGUAAUACACAGAGGUCAGAGUAGUCAAACCCUGAAAUAGGGGAGAUUUUAACUAAUAAACUGUACUAAUUGGCUUGACCAAAAAUUCUAUAAAAAAUUUGGUAAGUAAAUAUAUGAGUAUAAAUUCGGGGAAAAUUUACGGAUUUGGAUUUCGAGUUUUAUAACUCGAGAUAUGAAUUAUUUAGCAACUAUGACGCAGUUGGACAGCUUGUCUGAAAAGUAUGAUAUAAAUUAUCUGAAUUUGGUUAAGUGCUCAAAUAAGUUUAGUAGUGCCUUGUGCUCGACUCCGGCAACGGUCUCGGGUAAGGGGCGUUACAUAUAUAUUAUUCAAAGUAUUUAACAACACUUAAAAGUCCAAAACCAAAUGCUCAUCUUACCACCAACAUGCAUAUUUAAUUAUCUCAAGCCUCUCUUAAUCAAUUUUAUUCAUAAUAGCAUGAACUCAACAAUCCAUUACUCAUACAAAACAAAUAUAACCGAAAAUCCCUUCAUGAACUAAUCACUCACAUGUAACAUACUUUUCAAAAACAAGCUCAUAAACAUAUGAAUUUUGGUAUCAAAUUGUCCAUUGAACAUUCGUUUACUAUCUUCUAUCCUCAACUCAAAUAUCCUCACUCAUUUUCACUAAGGCCGAAUCUAAAAUGCCUCAUAAACUAAAUUUAUCAAGUGGGUUUUGGCUAGAAAAAGAAGAGAAACACAAAUUCAUCAACAAUUUACAAAAACACAUCAAAUUACCUUCAAAUUUGCCUCCAAUUGACCGAACGGUCCCAAAACCAUCCUUCACUCUUCUUCUUUUUAUGAAUUUCAGCUAGGUGAAGAAACAAAUAUGAGUUCUUGUUUACUUC